UUGCUGUGAACUCGAUGAGUAGGGCGGGACACGUGACAUCCUGUCUGAAUAUGGGGGGACCAUCCUCCAAGGCUAAAUACUCCUGACUGACCGAUAGUGAACCAGUACCGUGAGGGAAAGGCGAAAAGAACCCCGGCGAGGGGAGUGAAAUAGAACCUGAAACCGUGUACGUACAAGCAGUGGGAGCCUUGAUUUAUCAGGGUGACUGCGUACCUUUUGUAUAAUGGGUCAGCGACUUAUAUUUUGUAGCAAGGUUAACCGAAUAGGGGAGCCGUAGGGAAACCGAGUCUUAACUGGGCGUCUAGUUGCAAGGUAUAGACCCGAAACCCGGUGAUCUAGCCAUGGGCAGGUUGAAGGUUGGGUAACACUAACUGGAGGACCGAACCGACUAAUGUUGAAAAAUUAGCGGAUGACUUGUGGCUGGGGGUGAAAGGCCAAUCAAACCGGGAGAUAGCUGGUUCUCCCCGAAAGCUAUUUAGGUAGCGCCUCGUGAACUCAUCUUCGGGGGUAGAGCACUGUUUCGGCUAGGGGGUCAUCCCGACUUACCAAACCGAUGCAAACUCCGAAUACCGAAGAAUGUUAUCACGGGAGACACACGGCGGGUGCUAACGUCCGUCGUGAAGAGGGAAACAACCCAGACCGCCAGCUAAGGUCCCAAAGUCAUGGUUAAGUGGGAAACGAUGUGGGAAGGCAUAGACAGCCAGGAUGUUGGCUUAGAAGCAGCCAUCAUUUAAAGAAAGCGUAAUAGCUCACUGGUCGAGUCGGCCUGCGCGGAAGAUGUAACGGGGCUAAACCAUGCACCGAAGCUGCGGCAGCGACACUUAGGUGUUGUUGGGUAGGGGAGCGUUCUGUAAGCCGUUGAAGGUGACCUGUGAGGGUUGCUGGAGGUAUCAGAAGUGCGAAUGCUGACAUAAGUAACGAUAAUGCGGGUGAAAAACCCGCACGCCGGAAGACCAAGGGUUCCUGUCCAACGUUAAUCGGGGCAGGGUGAGUCGACCCCUAAGGCGAGGCUGAAAAGCGUAGUCGAUGGGAAACAGGUUAAUAUUCCUGUACUUGGUGUUACUGCGAAGGGGGGACGGAGAAGGCUAGGCUAGCCGGGCGACGGUUGUCCCGGUUUAAGCAUGUAGGCGGAGUGACUUGGUAAAUCCGGUUGCUUAUCAACGCUGAGGUGUGAUGACGAGCCACUACGGUGGUGAAGUAGUUGAUGCCAAGCUUCCAGGAAAAGCCUCUAAGCAUCAGGUAACAUUAAAUCGUACCCCAAACCGACACAGGUGGUCAGGUAGAGAAUACUCAGGCGCUUGAGAGAACUCGGGUGAAGGAACUAGGCAAAAUGGUGCCGUAACUUCGGGAGAAGGCACGCUGGCAUUAGGUAA
rnacentral:rRNA from 1 species